GAGUUUGAUCCUGGCUCAGAACGAACGCUGGCGGCGUGCUUAACACAUGCAAGUCGAACGAGAAAGCCCCUUUCGGGGGGUGAGUAAAGUGGCAAACGGGUGAGUAAUACAUGGGUAACCUGCCCUUAAGAUCGCGAUAACAUCCUGAAAAGGGUGCUAAUAGCGGAUAAGACUACGUGACUGCGGUCAAGUAGUAAAAGAUGGCCUCUAUAUAUAAGCUUUCGCUUAAGGAUGGGCUCAUGCGUCAUUAGCUUGUUGGUGGGGUAACGGCCUACCAAGGCUGCGAUGGCUAGCCGGCCUGAGAGGGUGAUCGGCCACACUGGGAUUGAGAUACGGCCCAGACUCCUACGGGAGGCAGCAGUGGGGAAUUUUGCGCAAUGGGGGAAACCCUGACGCAGCAACGCCGCGUGAAGGAUGAAGCUUCUUGGAGUGUAAACUUCUGUCAGAUGGGAAGAAAUGUCAGUGGGUUAAUACCCUGCUGACUUGACGGUACCAUCAGAGGAAGCCCCGGCUAACUCCGUGCCAGCAGCCGCGGUAAUACGGGGGGGGCAAGCGUUGUUCGGAAUUACUGGGCGUAAAGAGCGCGUAGGCGGCCAGGUAAGUUAGGCGUGCAAUCCUGUGGCUUAACCACAGAACUGCGCUUAAUACUGCUUGGCUUGAGUACGGGAGAGGAAAGUGGAAUUCCAAGUGUAGCGGUGAAAUGCGUAGAUAUUUGGAGGAACACCAGUGGCGAAGGCGGCUUUCUGGACCGAUACUGACGCUGUGGCGCGAAAGCUAGGGGAGCGAACGGGAUUAGAUACCCCGGUAGUCCUAGCCGUAAACGAUGGACACUAGGUGUAGGGAGAACUAAAUCUCUCUGUGCCGUAGCUAACGCAUUAAGUGUCCCGCCUGGGGAGUACGAUCGCAAGGUUGAAACUCAAAGGAAUUGACGGGGGCCCGCACAAGCGGUGGAGCAUGUGGUUUAAUUCGACGCAACGCGAAGAACCUUACCGGGGUUUGAAAUAUACAGGACAGCCCUAGAAAUAGGGUCUUCCUUCGGGAUCUGUAUACAGGUGCUGCAUGGCUGUCGUCAGCUCGUGUCGUGAGAUGUUGGGUUAAGUCCCGCAACGAGCGCAACCCUUACCCUUAGUUGCCACCAGGUUAUGCUGAGCACUCUAAGGGAACUGCCGUUGAUAAAACGGAGGAAGGUGGGGAUGACGUCAAGUCCUCAUGGCCCUUAUGUCCCGGGCUACACACGUGCUACAAUGGCCGGUACAAAGGGGGGCGAUACCGCGAGGUGGAGCAAAUCCCAAAAAGCCGGUCUCAGUUCGGAUUGAAGUCUGCAACUCGACUUCAUGAAGUUGGAAUCGCUAGUAAUCGCGGAUCAGCAUGCCGCGGUGAAUACGUUCCCGGGCCUUGUACACACCGCCCGUCACACCACGAAAGUUGGUUGUACCAGAAGUCGCUGAGCUAACCCGUAAGGGAGGCAGGUGCCCAAGGUAUGAUUAGCGAUUGGGGUGAAGUCAAAAGCGAAGGUAACC
rnacentral:rRNA from 1 species